rnacentral:rRNA from 1 species
GACGAACGCUGGCGGCGUGCUUAACACAUGCCAGUCGAACGGAAAGGCCCUGCUUGCAGGGUACUCGAGUGGCGAACGGGUGAGUAACACGUGGGUGAUCUGCCCUGCACUUCGGGAUAAGCCUGGGAAACUGGGUCUAAUACCGGAUAGGAGCCAUUUUUAGUGUGAUGGUUGGAAAGUUUUUUCGGUGUAGGAUGAGCUCGCGGCCUAUCAGCUUGUUGGUGGGGUAAUGGCCUACCAAGGCGGCGACGGGUAGCCGGCCUGAGAGGGUGGACGGCCACAGUGGGACUGAGAUACGGCCCAGACUCCUACGGGAGGCAGCAGUGGGGAAUAUUGCACAAUGGGCGCAAGCCUGAUGCAGCGACGCCGCGUGGGGGAUGACGGCCUUCGGGUUGUAAACUCCUUUCGCUAGGGACGAAGCUUUUUGUGACGGUACCUAGAUAAGAAGCACCGGCUAACUACGUG